UACGAAGGGUGCAAGCGUUACUCGGAAUUACUGGGCGUAAAGCGUGCGUAGGUGGUGAGUUAAGUCUGUCGUGAAAGCCCCGGGCUCAACCUGGGAAUGGCGAUGGAUACUGGCUCGCUAGAGUGCGGUAGAGGAGAGUGGAAUUCCCGGUGUAGCAGUGAAAUGUGUAGAGAUCGGGAGGAACAUCAGGUUGCGAAUGGCG
rnacentral:rRNA from 1 species